rnacentral:rRNA from 1 species
GACGAACGCUGGCGGCGUGCUUAACACAUGCAAGUCGAACGAAGUGGCGAACGGGUGAGUAAUACGUGGGUAACCUGCCCUCCUAUUUGGGAUAAGCCUUGGAAACGGGGUCUGAUAGCGAAUAGAGGGGGAUGGGAUGGCGGCCUAUCAGCUUGUUGGUGGGGUGAUGGUCUACCGAGGCGGUUACGGGUAGCCGGCCUGAGAGGGUGACCGGGCACAUGGGGACUGAGAUACGGCCCAGACGCGUACGGGAGGGAGCAGUGGGGGAUAUUGCACAAUGGGCGAAAGCCUGAUGCAGCGACGCCGCGUGGGGGAUGAAGGCUUUAGGGUUGUAAACCUCUUUCGCUCUCGAACGGGUAGGUGGAGAAGAAGCGCCGGCUAACUACGUGCCAGCAGCCGCGGUAAUUC